rnacentral:rRNA from 1 species
AACAGGAUUAGAUACCCUGGUAGUCCAUGCCGUAAACGAUGAGUGCUAGGUGUUGGGGGGCUUCCACCCCUCGGUGCCGAAGUUAACGCAUUAAGCACUCCGCCUGGGGAGUACGGCCGCAAGGCUUAAACUCAAAGGAAUUGACGGGGACCCGCACAAGCGGUGGAGCAUGUGGUUUAAUUCGAAGCAACGCGAAGAACCUUACCAGCUCUUGACAUCUUCUGACAACUCUAGAGAUAGAGUGUUCCCUUCGGGGACAGAAUGACAGGUGGUGCAUGGUUGUCGUCAGCUCGUGUCGUGAGAUGUUGGGUUAAGUCCCGUAACGAGCGCAACCCUUGUUGCCAGUUGCCAGCAUUUAGUUGGGCACUCUGGCGAGACUGCCGGUGACAAACCGGAGGAAGGUGGGGAUGACGUCAAAUCAGCAUGCCCCUUAUGAGCUGGGCUACACACGUGCUACAAUGGAUGGUACAGCGAGUCGCUAAACCGCGAGGUCAAGCUAAUCUCCUAAAGCCAUUCUCAGUCCGGAUUGCAGGCUGCAACUCGCCUGCAUGAAGCCGGAAUCGCUAGUAAUCGUGGAUCAGAACGCCACGGUGAAUACGUUCCCGGGUCUUGUACACACCGCCCGUCACACCACGAGAGUUCGUAACACCCGAAGUCGGUCGAGCAACUUUAUAGAGCCAGCCGCCGAAGGUGGGAUGGAUGAUUGGGGUGAAGUCGUAACAAGGUAACC